CUAAGACAUGCAAGUCGAACGGACCAUAUAUUUGGGUAACCGAAAGUAUGGUUAGUGGCGAAAGGGUGAGGAAUAGAUAGGAACGUACCCUGUGCUCUGGGAGAGCGUCUGAAGCUUCGGCUUCUUCCGAAAGGGGCGGUAAUACCAGAUAAUGUCCUUCGGGGACCAAAGAUUUAUCGGCAUCGGAGCGGCCUAUCUCCUAUCAGCUUGUCGGUGAGGUACACGGCUCACCAAGGCAACGACUGGUAGCGGGACUGAGAUGUUGGCCCGCCACAUCGGGACUGAGACACUGUCCGGACCUCCACGGAGGGCUGCAGUAACGGAUAUUGGGCAAUGGGCGAAAGCCUGAACCAGCAAUGCCCGGGUGCAGGAUUAAGCCCUUAGGGGUUUAAACUGCUUUCAGGGGUCAGAAAGCUGGUUUCGCCCAGUGGAUCAACCCCCAGAGGAAAGUCACCGGCUAACUUUCGUGCCAGCAACCAGCGGUAAUACGGAAGGUGGCAAGCGUUUAUUCGGAAUCAUUGGGCUUAAAGGGCACGCAGGCGGAACAGUGUGUGUUGUGUGAAAUCCCCCGGCUUAACCGGGGAAUUGCACAGCAAACUGCUGUUCUUGAGGCAGUAGGGGGUGCAUGGAACUCUUGGUGGANCGGUGGAAUGCGUAGAUAUCAAGAGGAACGCCAGAGGUGAAGACGGUGCACUGGGCCUGUCCUGACGCUGAGGUGCGAAAGCGUGGGGAGCGAACGGGAUUAGAUACCCCGGUAGUCCACGCCGUAAACGAUGUCUACUAGGUCGUGGGUGUUCUGACACAUUCACGGCCGGAGCAAAAGUGUUUAGUAGACCGCCUGGGGAGUACGGCCGCAAGGUUAAAACUCAAAUGAAUUGACGGGGGCUCACACAAGCGGUGGAGCAUGUGGAUUAAUUCGAAGCAACGCGCGGAACCUUGCCUGGGUUUGACAUGCUUGUAUGCCUUCUCUGAAAGGAGUUAGGCUGCCUUCGGGUGAAACUUGCACAGGUGCUGCAUGGCUGUCGUCAGCUCGUGUCGUGAGAUGUCGGGUUAAGUCCUUUAACGAGCGAAACCCUUGCCGUUAGUUGCCAGCGAGUAAUGUCGGGGACUCUAACGGGACUGCCGGUGUUAAACCGGAGGAAGGUGGGGAUGACGUCAAGUCCUCAUGGCCUUUAUGCCCAGGGCUUCACACGUGCUACAAUGGCAAUUACAGAGCGACGCGAUACCGCGAGGUGGAGCAAAUCGCAAAAAAAUUGCCUCAGUUCGGAUUGCAGGCUGGCAAUUCGCCUGCAUGAAGUCGGAAUCGCUAGUAAUCGCGUAUCAGCAAUGACGCGGUGAAUGUGUUCCUGAGCCUUGUACACACCGCCCGUCAAGUGAUGGAAGCCGGGAGUACCCGAAGUCGGGUUGCUAACCUUUGGGAGGCGCCUGCCGACGGUAAGUUCGGUGACUGG
rnacentral:rRNA from 1 species